GACGAACGCUGGCGGCGUGCCUAAUACAUGCAAGUAGAACGCACAGUUUAUACCGUAGCUUGCUACACCAUAGACUGUGAGUUGCGAACGGGUGAGUAACGCGUAGGUAACCUGCCUGGUAGCGGGGGAUAACUAUUGGAAACGAUAGCUAAUACCGCAUAAUAUUAAUUAUUGCAUGAUAAUUAAUUGAAAGGUGCAAUUGCACCACUACCAGAUGGACCUGCGUUGUAUUAGCUAGUAGGUGAGGUAACGGCGCACCUAGGCGACGAGACAUAGCCGACCUGAGAGGGUGGUCGGCCACACUGGGACUGAGACACGGCCCAGACUCCUACGGGAGGCAGCAGUAGGGAAUCUUCGGCAAUGGACGAAAGUCUGACCGAGCAACGCCGCGUGAGUGAAGAAGGUUUUCGGAUCGUAAAGCUCUGUUGUAAGAGAAGAACGGGUGUGAGAGUGGAAAGUUCACGCUGUGACGGUAUCUUACCAGAAAGGGACGGCUAACUACGUG
rnacentral:rRNA from 1 species